GCUGGGCAUGGUAGCGCGCGCCUGUAAUCCCAGCUACUCGGGAGGCUGAGGCAGGAGAAUCACUUGAACCCGGGGGGGCAGAGGCUGCAGUGAGCCAAGAUCAUGCCAUUGCAGUCCAGCCUGGGCAACAGAGUGAAACUCUGUCUCAA
rnacentral:SRP_RNA from 1 species